CAUAUCAUCCUCUACCUUUUGGCUCCUUCACAAAAAAAUUCUCUAAACAAAAUUCUACCAAAAUGAGAAUGUAUAUAAGUGUUUGAAGAAAAGGAGUCCAAUUUCCUACUCACUAUCAUUCUUCUCUUUCUUUUCUCAAGAAGGGCGUGUUCGCAGAGUUUGAUUACCCAAGGUCAAGCAUUUGUAGAGUUUUACUUGGAAGCUUUGAGGUUGAGCAAGUGAUGAACUGGUGGCUGAGUGGAGUUGGGGGUCGUCUCAUCUCUUUGUAGGAUUUUCGUGGCAUGUGUCUUCAUACACAUGACCAUAUAGUUACAACUCCUUCCGCUGUGCUUAUGUUGUAGUAUUUUGUACUAACGGGUCAUAGGAACAAUGAUCAGUAACGAGUGACCUAUGUUAAACACUCUUUUAAA